UCGAGGCGUUCACGGUCGAAAACGCGUCGUCCGACACUCGACACGCGCUCCAUUUUACACGCUGGAGAAUCGCUAGGAACCGUAACCUUUUGUUCCAGUUCCGAUGAUUCUCGAAGCCGCAAGAUUCUCUCUCCUUCGAUUCGACGACUCAACGAGUGAUUUCUCGCUGCGAGGAAAGGAAAGAAGGGAGAACGAAGAGGAUUAAUCGGGGGACGGAAUCGUCGACGUCGAAUACCAACGACAAUAUGCCGGAUUAAAAACGGUGCUUGCCUCGACGGAAUGCGGGUAACGCGAGAUCGGGGCAGAUGGCGUUUGUGCACACGCUUGCAUCGUGUCGCAUAACACCGCCAUCUUGGAGGAUUCGGUUUUCUCUUUUACAGAGACGUGUCCUUACAAGAGCUCGCGAGGAAUUCCUCGCGGAUUCGUGUUCCCAACGUUUGGAAUCUCGUUUUAGACGAGAGAUUUUCGCGAGAAGAAAUCUGGAGGAAAAAGGUCCAUUGAGAUCGUUGACGAAAUUUAGGUAUUCGGUUAAUCCAGUUCUUUGUUUUAAAUUAUCAUGCGAAUUUUGGGAUCGUGGAAAAACUGAUCGUGGAUCAAAAGAAAAUCGAAAGGGAAUUGUCGAUGAAUCUUGACAAGUUGGUCGAACAAGACAACUUGUUAUGGAGGGAACAUUGAAUUUCUAUCUGAAAGAAAGAGAAUUUUAAUGACGAAAACGAAUUUUAUGAUACAGAGUGAAAGUGUGAUUUUUAUUUCAUAAGAAAGAAAAAGAAUACGUAAUUGGUGGGCAAGUGUUGAAUCGUAAAGGUAUUCUAAGCGCUAUUCAAAAGUACAGAGGUCACGCAUAUACGACAUAUAUAACUAUAAAAACGUAAAAUUUUCUAUUCGAAAAUAUUAAAGGUUAAAAAGGAAUUUUACGCGAGUGAAAGUGUAAAAAUUUCAAUAUCAAUUAUCGAAUAAUCAAACGAAGAGAAUUAUUUUUGGCAUUCAAAGAUUACAGGGAUCGUGUAAAAGAUCCGGUUUCCCCUCCCAUUCGAAGGAGAAUAUUAAAUACAAACGAAUCUCGUGAUACGAAAGUUUCGUGAUUUCAUUUUCGCUCGAAAUUGAAAAUGUCGCAAUAGAUAGGAUGAUUAUUAAAUACGAAUUGAUCGAAAUCGACGGUAGAAAUAUUAUUCAAAGGUAACAGAGGUCACGCAUAUAUCCUCGAGGUUCGAGCUCCACACCCGCUUCGCCAAAAUUACUCGUUGAAUUAUUUAAUUCCGAGCAUCGUUUUCGCGGCGAAUACCUGUCGCUUUCCAUCCGCUCCGAAUACCGCUGAAAACAAUUCGAGCUGACGUAUCAGAGACGUCCCGCCACUUCAAAAAUGAACGAAUCAACGAUUGGUCGAGUUUCGAACAGUUAUGCGAUUCAACGAUACGAUCCGUGAAAAUCGGCCGAUGGAAUUUCCUCGACGAAUUUGAAGCGAAAUUCUCGAAUCACGUAUUUCUCUUGCAAUUACGCGCGUACGCAGGCUGUGUCGCUUUGAAAUAUCUACACGUGUAUAUCUCUUUUCGGUUCGUUAGCGUUGAUCAUUAUACUUGGCAAGCACGUUCGUUCCCCGGCUUAACGUUAUAAUUCGAUAACAAGGCAAGCAACAUUUGCUAAUAACGUUAAAGGGGGAGCCUUUAUAUCGUGAUCAUUCAGCCACGGGUUUCUAUAUCGAUAUUAGCGAGGAGCUACGUCGGUUCAUCGUGUCAAUUUUCAAUCUUUCCUUCGCAAGAAAUUCUACGCGAUGUCUAUAAGGAGAAUAUUGGAGAGUGGCACCAUCUUUCGAGCCAUCGCGAAGAGUGAUGACGUACGUGCAAUUAAAGUCCGUUCGAUUCGCCCGUACAAUACGAAACUUUUAUUUUAUAUUUAUUUAUAUUCGAUUAACAGUUGAAUUCAAUUAAUUCUCCGGUUAUUAAAAUAUCAACGAAUUACAAAUCGCAUAACAGUGUAAUUAUACGACAAAACUACCUAUCGCACGAUUGGUAGUUCGUUUGUUAUUGGAUAAGUUUAUUACUCGUUAUUGCCACUUCGUCGAAAAUAGAAAAACACUUGUACACUUUCGAAUCUUUAUUUUGGAUGAAUUAUCCGAUAGUAACACGUUAUCGAAUGAGCACAAACGUCGUGUAAACUCGAAACAACAUCGCUAUUACGCGAGUUUACGUACACGUCGAGCCGAAGCGUGGCCUGAUAUAAGCAAAAUGCAUAGACCAUCGUGUGUUUGAACGAAUAAUCGAAAAACAGGGCUCUUUGCUGUUACUCUCGACAAGGACGCUGCCGUCACGCGACGAGAUACCGCAUUUGUUGCCAAUACCAGGUUAUUUUCCGUGCAUUUCCAGUUACAACGAGCAGAGAUUAACGGUCGAAUACUCGUCGACGUUUCUCGUCUCUUCGUAACGUCGAGAGAAUUCAGAGAGAAUUAUCCAUUAAUAUUUCGGCGUGCGUUCCAACGAACUCUUGCCUCUCUACGAAAAUACGUUUCCUCUCGAAUGCUCGCUUAACGCGAAUCUCGUUCCACCGCGAAAAAGAAAGCAGAAGGCUCGAAAUUGGCGUCAUUAAGUCGGCCGGAGCGGAGCGUGCAUGCAAUUAACUCGAGUGUUCUCGUUAAAGACGCUCAAAGAGUCCGGUUUCGAUUGUUACGUUAAUUGGAUCGAAAAAAAAGAAAUAAUAAAAAAAAAAUGAAAGAAGAUAAAAGAUCCCCGAGGAGUUGAAUUUUAUUCGGCAUACCUGUUGAACCUGUCUAGAAACUCACGGAAGAAAUUGAUAUUCGUAGGAAGGGAGAGGGAAUCGGCUGCCAAGUAUUUCAUCGGCCACCGCAUCGAGACCUCGAUAAUCGAUGUUAACGACAAAUAAAUCCUGUUCUACUGCCACUAUUUCUUCCAUAUAUCUUUUAAAUAUAAUAUUAUUUGCCUACACUCAAUCCUCCGGGGAUAAUUUUCAACUCUUCAGAUACGAUAUUCGUCGAGUAGAUAUAAGAUAUAUUUAUUUAUAACUUGUUUAUAGUCGGAGAAAAAACGGGAUAAAAAAAUUAAAAAGUAUCGAUUAAAAAAAGACGAUUCGCUGUGAGGAGAGGAAAAGAAGAAAAAUCAAUUUCUGACUGAUCUUGAGCAAAGUGCAAGCAAUCCAAACCUUUUAUUUCGGAUCUUUUAUUUCGGAUCGAUUCAAUUUUCCGCAACUUUCGUCGUGCAAAAAAGUAGAUUAGAAUCAUAUUUUGUACAAAAGAAAACGCACGCUUUAACGCUAUACACGUAACGCGAGAGGAAGCAAAAAGUUAAAAAGGACAUGCUUUAAUUAUAAAUGACGCGGUAAUAAUUUCAAUCGAUCGAAUAUCUUGGCGUGACAUCGUUGCUUACUAUUUACGCGCAAAUGGUACGACACGACGCGAUGUUUACCUUCGUUAACGAGAAAUAUUCCCAAAUUCUAUGCAUAGAUUCCGUCGUAAAUAUCGUCGUUAUCAAUCUGAGCAAGGUCAGACAAACAAAUACGCAAUUCUUGGAAUUCCGUUGGUCUCGAACGAUGACAUCAUUCACGAGUUUGGAUAUUACACGUACCGAUAAUUCAUCACGCUCGCGGUAAACUCGUAUUUGUACAUCGAUCGCGAGUUGCGCUUCGAACCGAAACCGAGGGAGGGGAGGGGAGAAAGAAAAGAAACAUGGUCGAAACGAAGGCUCGAUACGUAAAACGUGUGGAAUCGUGUCGCAGACAAAGGAAUACAGGAGGUCGAGUAAGAGGGACCGAGGAGAUCGCGGCAUGAAAUUCAAUUGGUUCCGCGUUUGCACAGCUUACCGCCGGCCGAUGACAUCACAUCCAAACAUGGUCACCGUGUUUCAAGCGAUUGAUCGAUAUCUCAUUGAACGUCACGGUGUCAAAGGAAACGCUCUACGCUUGUGAGAAAAUCGGAUAAUGUGCGCUGCCCCUGUAAAACGGCAACCUUUAUUACAUCGCUGUCAACGAUCGUGAUUAGUGCUAUGAAAAUGUUACCGACGGUACCUAGAUAUGAAAUUUUCAAUUUUAAUCGUUGGAAAGUAAUUUUUGUUCACGCUCGAGUAAAUAUCUAUAGAAAAAAAUUUUUUUAUACUUUUGGAUGAAGUUUUUAAAAAACAGGCUGUAAAAAUUUAUUUUACGUUUUAUAUGUCGUACUUUUUAUAUCCAUACUUUUAUCGAAUAAAAGGAAAAAAAAAAUUUAUUUUAUAUUCUUCACUUAAUACAUUUUUUUUUUCUAUUCUUUGCAUUUUAGAUUAAAUUAUUAAACAUUUGAAUCAAUUUGUUUUAAAAAAUGAUUACAAGAAAAAAGUAACAAAUGAUAAAAAAAUAUUAAUGUUUCAUCUUUUUUUUCACUUCCAAAUACAAAUAUCGCAUAUAUACAUAUAUUUUGUCGUAAAUAUUAUAAAAAGUUUCGAAAAAUUUGAAACAUUAAAUCGGCACUUACCUUCAGUUACACCAUUCUAACGCCGUUUCUAUAUAAUGUAUCGAUCAACGUCUCGUAGAAAGAUGACAGUAGUUGUUCGAUCAUUGCCAAAUCGCGAUGUUAUGACGUUAAUCGGCUGAAGGGAUGCAAUUUCAAACAACGCAUUGUUAUCCGACGAAAUUGAACGAACGUUUGGCACACAUUCGGUAACGGCGAAACGCCGUUGCACCGACGGCGGUUCGCACCUCACAGAUACAUCGCGACGUCUGACGUUCCCGCGCCCAUUGGCGUCGAAGUAGCGUUGUCAUAACAACCGCGCAUAACAAUUUUUGUACACGCGCAAUAUGUUUCUAUUCUGUAAAUUAUACGCGGCAAUAUUCGGACUAUAGAAAAUAAUUUUUGCUAAAAUAUUGUCGACAACCAUAGAAAAUAUGGUGAGUGUAUUUCGAUCAUUCUAUUUAUUGCAUAAAUAUAAAAAUAAUUGUAUACUUUAAGUUUAUAUUUAUUUAUAUAUAUUUAUUUUAAAAAUAUAUGUAACGAUUAGAAAAAGAAAGUGACAACUAAAAUUUUAAUAUUAAUAAUAUUAAUAAUAUUAUAAUUUAUAUCAAGAUUUUAAUUAUGUCAAUAUCUUUUUAAUUAUAAAUAAAUUCAUUUUAUGGUUGAUUUUUAUUAAUA